rnacentral:lncRNA from 1 species
GGGGGUGUCGUUCCGGAACAUCCGGGUUUCUUUUUAUGUCUAAGUUACAUAUGUGUUGAUCAUAUUGCAUUAUAGGAUUAAUAAAUGUAUAUUUCCUUUUCCUUGCAUGCUUCUUAGUAGUGUACUUAUGAGUUGAACACCUAGACUAGGGUAGCAUGAGGAUUGGGUCUUAUGGCAUAGAAUCCUAUAGCGGCAUAAAGAGCCGAACUUGGACAUAGCCUAGUAGAGAGGCAUUGAACUAGUGUAGUAGAGACACUAAACUUGAACGAGUGGCAUGUCAAUUAGUAGAAAACUUACUACAAUGAUCGAACGAGUGGCAUUGAGUCUAGUGUAGUAAACUUGACAUGAACCUAGGGAUAGUAGAAGUCCCAACAUUGAUUAUAUAUCAUGACUGUGCAGCAGAGGCACAUUGACCCUAGUAGACAGGGUAUCCUCUUGUGAGGAUUGGAUCAUACUCACUAGUCUGUUUUUGCUUGUCGGUGGUCGCUCCACCGAGGCACGAGUCUCCGGAGUACUUCACUAGGGGCAGACGUAGUUGUCCCGCAGACGGUCUCGGUGUGCGAGUGCAGUUUCUCCUCACCUAUGAGAUUGAGAGUGAGUCGAGGGUUUAACCUUCGGGUUAACCAAGUGAAUUGGGUAAGAAACAUGAAAUGCAUAGUAGACUUGCAUUAUUACCUUGAGUAGACAUAGUGUAUGUUGUAGUUUACAUUACUAUGCACCUUUAUAUACUCAUGACAUGAUACUAGCAUGAUAGUAGUUGUUGCAUGCAUUAUUAUCAUUGGUGGCAUGAUAGAGUAGUUGCAGUUAUCUUUAUAUAUCUAUCUAUCUCUCUAUCUGUGCCAGCUUAGACCUAGUGGGAAAACCGGCGGCGUCGGCGGCCGAACCCACUGGGAACUAUAUUUAUAUAGUUCUCACCCCGUGUGGUUUUGGGGUACAGGUACACACAGAGGCGAGUCAAGCGAGGACCGCGGUAAGGGCAUAGCGCCCUAAGUGAGUUUAGUUGGUAGCUUUUCCUUUAUGCAUUAGAGUACCCUCGUGUACUAGAUGAUGUUUGGAUAGAUAUGGAAGAGCUACUUGUAUUUUGAGGAAAUUAUGUAUCUACAUUUUGGUGGAUGGAAAAUGUAAUGCAAUCAAAUGAUGUAGCUAUUGAAUGAAUGUAAUAGUUAGACUAUCUCUCUUUAUACACUAGUAUAUUACUUGUGGUUCUUGCUCUUAGAUGGAUUGCACUCGUGUGUGCUAUGUUCGAUCAUGUAUGUUAUCUAAGCAUUCCUGGGCGCUUGUUUGUACAUGAUCUGGUUGUUUAGCCUUGGGCGGACAGGAGAGGUGCUGUCCGUUCGGCGUCUGUUCGACGCGCCCGAACCGGACCAAAUUGGUAGCGGCAUCGGGGCGGGACAGUUGCGACAGGCACGUCCUCCGCCGGCGAGCGUUCCUUCGGCGGCGUUGGGUUCUACGACACCCGAUGCGACGGCAUUGCAGGCGGAAAGGGAGCGUGCACUUGCGGCUCUCGAGAAGUUUCGAAGGUUUAAUCCACCGACCUUCGAGGGAGAAAAAGUCGAACCUUGGAUAGUGGAGUCGUGGGUGGACUCAAUGGAGACCUUGUUCGAGGACCUCUACACGUUGGAGAGGGACAAGGUCUACCUCGCCACUCAUUGUUUGGAGUAGACGGCGAAGGUUUGGUGGAAGCGAAUCAAGAGAAACCGAGCUUCCGACCUUCCGCCGUUGACGUGGAAGGAGUUUCGGGGAUUGUUCUAUGUCAACUACUUCCCCGAUAGCGAGAAGAAGAAGCUCCAGGAGCAAUUUCGAAAGUUGAAGCAAGGUAGCCGCACGGUAGCGGAAUAUGAGCGGGAGUUUGCUCACAUCAUUGACUGCGUCCCUGACGUAGUGCGGGAUGACAGGGAUCGAGCCGAUUGGUUCGAGCGAGGGCUCCGGGCUGAUAUCCAUUGGGCGGCGCACAUCCUGAAGCUCACUACCUUCACGGAGGUGCUCGAUAGAGCGUUGUGGGCAGAGCAAGAAAACGCUCACAUCUGGGAGGAGCGAGAAGCGUUCGAGAAGGACAGUGGCAAGAAGCGGGCUCAGAGUAGUUCGGGAGCUCAAACCAAGUCAAGGAAGCUCCCGAAGUACCCGCGAACGCAAUCCAAGGGCCGCGGACCGCAACGGUGCACAAUCUGUGGUGGGAACCACGAGCCAAGGACAUGUGAUCGACAGGAGGGGAAGUGCUUCACGUGUGGACAGGCAGGCCAUAUAAGCCGCUACUAUCCAGUGAGGGCUUCGCCUGCCCCUUCGGUCGCAUCGGCUCCAAUGACUCCGGCGCAUUAUGGAGGAGUCCCACCUGCUGCGUCAUCGGCUGGACGUACGUUGAUACCACGCCAACCUGAGGCGACGAGAUCGGCUCCGAACGUGCGGGUGUUCACCGCCCAAACUCAAGCCGAGGAACCUGCUGAGGCGGAGGAUCACCAUGUACUCGCAGGUAUGGUUUUAAUUAACGGAGUUUGCUCCAGGGCUAUGUUUGAUACAGGUGCUACGCAUUCGUUCAUCAGAGGUCAUUUGCACGCAUGCAUGACAUAGAACUACAAGAGAGUAAAAGCACUUAGAGAGUAUCGGGCCCCGGACGUGAUUUUCUCGUCCGUGUGGAGUGUUCGUCUUGUCCUGUGCGAUUGGGCGAUUGGAUAAUGCCCAUCCGUAUGUUGGUGUUCAAAAAGUUGAAAGACUUCGAUGUCAUUCUAGGAAUGGAUUGGCUCUCGAAGUACUAUGCGACUAUUCACUUCAGAAGUAAAGUGAUUACCUUCCGAGAGCAAGGCCAGGAGGAAUUCACCUACCGGGCCUGUAGAAGCUCGCGCUUCGCUGCUAUGGUGUCGGCGACGAGGGCGAGGAAGUUGAUUAACAGCGGUUGCGUGGCCUAUUUGGCGACCAUUGUAGAAGUCGAGAGGAUGACUCCUAUGCUCGAGGAACUGUCUGUGGUUCGGGAAUUUCCAGAUGUAUUUCCCGUGGAGUUACCGGGAAUGCCGCCAGACCGAACGAUCGAGUUCGUGAUAGACUUGGUUCCAGGAACCGCGCCUAUCUCGAAGGCUCUGUAUCGAAUGGUGCCGGCAGAACUGAAGGAGCUACGGGCUCAAUUGAUAGAUCUCCUCGAUAAGGGAUUUAUACAGCCAAGUGUAUCGCCGUCGGGAGCCCCGGUCCUAUUCGUGCGAAAGAAGGACGGAUCGUUUCGACUCUGCAUAGAUUAUCGCGAGUUGAACAAGGUUACGAUCAAGAACAAGUACCCGUUACCGAGGAUUGACCAUUUGUUUGAUCAGUUACAAGGGUCUCGGGUUUAUUCAAAGAUUGACCUGCAGUCCGGUUAUCACGAACACAAGAUCAAGCAGGAAGAUGUGCAAAAGACCGCGUUUCGUACGCGGUAUAGACACUAUGAAUUCACGGUCAUGCCGUUUGGGCUCACUAACGCCCCGGCAGCGUUCAUGGACCUAAUGAAUCGUGUCUUCAAGGAGUAUUUGGACCGAUUUGUCGUGGUCUUCAUAGACGACAUCUUGGUUUAUUCUCGCAGCGACGAGGAACAUGCCGAGCAUUUGAGAAUCGUGCUUCAAAUCCUACGGGAGAAGCUGUAUGCUAAGUUUAAGAAAUGCGACUUUUGGCUCCGAGAGGUUGCAUUUCUUGGGCAUGUCAUUUUCGAGAGAGGAGUAUCUGUUGACCUGCGGAAAGUGGAGGCGAUCAAGGAUUGGCCUCGCCCGACUAACGUCACGGAAGUUCGAAGCUUCGUGGGUUUAGCGGGUUAUUAUAGACGGUUCGUGGAGGGAUUCUCGAAGAUCGUGGGUCCACUUACCCGACUGACUCGAAAAGGCACCAAGUUCAUUUCGAGUGACGAGUGCGAUCGGAGUUUUCAAGAGUUGAAGGAUAGAUUGACUUCGACUCCGGUACUCGCCUUACCGGUGCAAGACGAAGACUUUGUGGUCUAUAGCGGCGCGUCCCAAUCGGGUUUAGGGUGUGUUCUGAUGCAGGGCGGGAAGGUGAUCGCUUACGCGUCCCGUCAGCUGAAGAGCUAUGAGAAGAACUACCCUGUUCACGACUUAGAGUUGACCGCGGUAGUGUUUGCUCUCAAGUUAUGGAGGCACUACUUGUAUGGCGCGUGUUGCGAGAUAUACACGGACCACAAGAGUCUAAAGUACCUAUUCACACAAAAAGAGCUCAAUAUGCGACAGCGGCAGUGGUUGGAACUGCUGAAGGAUUUUGAUGUGACAAUCCUAUACCACCCCGGAAAAGCAAACGUGGUGGCCGACGCGCUUAGCAGGAAGUCAGUGGAGAAUCUUGCUAUGCUGGUCAUACGUCAAGAACCACUGUGGAGAGAGAUGGAAUGAUUGGAUCUCGAGGUGGUAGCUCCGGAAAUCCCGUCUAUGCUUACGACUCUCGUUAUCCAACCGACCUUGUUGGAGCAGAUUAAGACUUUGCAAUCUGCAGACCCCAAUCUCCAAAAGGUGCGGUGAGACAUCGAGAGUGGACACGACGGUGAUUUUAGUGUAGACGCUGAGGGUGCACUUCGGUUUUGAAACCGAUGGUGCGUACCGGAGAAUGAGGAGGUCCGGAAGAUAAUAUUGCAAGAGGCACAUCGGACUCCUUAUAGCAUUCACCCGGGCAGCACCAAGAUGUACCGUGAUCUGAAGAUGCAGUACUGAUGGCCGGGCAUGAAAGCAGACGUUGGGCGCUAUGUAGCGCAGUGCCUUGUAUGCCAGCAAGUGAAGGCUGAGCGUCGAUUUCUAGCGGGAAAGCUCCAAAGUUUACCUAUUCCCGUUUGAAAAUGGGAGAAUAUAGCUAUGGAUUUCGUAGUCGGAUUGCCCCGUUCGACAGGUGGCCACGACGCGAUCUGGGUGAUUGUGGAUCGUAUGACCAAGUCGGCACACUUUCUACCGAUUCACACCACCUGGUCAGGCGACAAGUUGGCGCAGGUGUACUUGAAUGAAGUUGUGAGGUUACACGGGGUUCCGAAGUCGAUCAUGUCAGAUCGAGACCCUCAUUUUACUUCGCACUUUUGGAAAAGCCUGCAAGAAGCACUUGGCACACGGAUCGAUUUCAGCACCGCGUUUCAUCCUCAGACAGAUGGACAGUCAGAGAGGAGUAUACAGAUUCUGGAGGAUAUGUUACAGGCGUGUGUCAUUGACUACAAGGGUAGUUGGGCAAACCAUUUGAGAAUGGCCGAGUUCGCCUUCAACAACAAUUACCAAGCUAGUAUUGGAAUGGCACCAUUCGAGGUCCUGUAUGGACGGAAGUGCCGAUCCCCUAUAUGUUGGAGUGAUGUAGGUGAACCUGCGGCAUUGGGCCCAGACAUAUUGCGAGAGGCGGAAGAGAAGGUCCGUCUCGCUCGCGAGAGGCUACUUAUGGCACAGUCGAGGCAAAAGAGCUAUUCUGACAAACGCUAUAGAGACUUGGAAUUCGCGGUAGGUGACCGCGUUUUCUUGAAGGUUUCGCCGAUGAGAGGUGUGAAAUGCUUCGGAGUGCGGGGAAAGCUAAGUCCCCGAUAUAUCGGACCUUUCGAGGUGUUGGAACGUGUUGGAGCGGUAGCGUACCGACUUGCAUUACCGCCGAAGCUCGCGGGCGUGCAUAAUGUGUUCCACGUCUCCAACCUUCGCAAGUAUAUUCCCGAUCCCGAGCAUGUUAUGUACUACGAACCGCCGGGUUUACAAGAAGAUCUAAGCUAUGAAGAGUUUUCGGCAAUGAUUAUUGCUCGAGAAGUGCGAAAAUUGAGAAACCGUGAGAUUCCGUGUGUAAAGAUUCGUUGGACCAAUCACGAUGAUCGUGAGGCCACGUGGGAACUCGAGGAAACGAUGAAAGCGCACUAUCCUCAUCUCUUUACAGAAAUGAACUGAGGUAUGAGUUGAUUAAGUUAAUGAAUUCGUUUCGAGGACGGAACUCCUUUUUAGUAGGGGAGGAUGUGAGGAAGUGAAUUCUCAAAAUACGAGAGUUAGACUUCAUGCAAAAUCGACCAAGGGUCGUGUUGGUGAGCUUUGGAAAAGCCAAAGAUGUUGAAAUCACCUAAAGUGCAUUGGAAACGAGUCCACGAGAGCAAAGAGUGCAAAACCUGCACUGGAGCAAAACUGCUCUCGGGGACCGGUCCCUGGCAGGGAGGGAUCGGUCCCAUCGGCUGGGGUUGCGGGGAUCUUUGAUGCAACCGGUCCCUAGCAGGGAGAGACCGGUCCCCGAAUGUGAUCCCAGCGAGAAAAGCCAAAAUUUGGCUCAUGAGCUUUGGAAAAGCCAAAGAUGUUGAAAUCACCUAAAGUGCAUUAGAAACGAGUCCACGAGAGCAAAGAGUGCAAAACCUGCACUGGAGCAAAACUGCUCUCGGGGACCAGUCCCUGGCAGGGAGGGACCGGUCCCAUCGGCUGGGGUUGCGGGGAUCUUUGAUGCAACCGGUCCCUGGCAGGGAGAGACCGGUCCCCGAACAUGAUCCCGGCGAGAAAAGCCAAAAUUUGGCUAAGUCCUGAAAAUAUAGCUCUCGGGAACCGGUCUCUCAGGAAGGAACCGGUCUCCCGAGGACCGGUCUCUCGGGGAGAGACCGGUACCCGAACGCGUGACCCGAGCUGAAGCUCUCGGGGACCAGUCCCAAGUCGGGGAGACCGGUCCCUCCGCGCGCAGAAUGCCCAGUGAGGGCUGUGCAGGGGAUGAAAAGUAGAAGGGGCUGCUCGAAUAUUGUUACAUUAAAGAGUAUAGGGGACCCCCUAUCUCUCUCCAACCCUCAUUUCUCUCCCUCUCUCACACUCUCUUGUUCUCUCUCUCUCUAGAAGAGAAGAAGAAAAAGAAGAAGAAAAAAAGAGAAGGAAAAGAAGGAAGAAAAGGAAGGAGAAGAAGAAGGAGAUCAAGAAAAAGAAGGCUUUGGACUUCUCCCUCUUCCUCUCUUCUGUCUUUUAAGCUAGCAUAGGGGUAAACUUCAACACCCUCUCAUGGUAAAUGUAUUAGGGUUUGCUUUGAUCUCUUAGAACCUAACUAGAUGGACUCUAGUGGAUCUCUAGAAGUGGAUGAACUUAUCAAUUGCAUGAUUAAUUGCUAGUAGAUGGCAUUUUGCAAUAUUGGGUUUCUAGGGCAUCCAAAAGAGGGUUUUUGGAAAAGUAGAGGAUUGUUCUCAUUUGACCCUCCUCUAACCUAAUUGGUAGUUAUUCCGACGCAACGGUGCACUCGGUUUGGCAAUCCGACGAGUGUACGCGGAGAUAUCGAAGAUCUAAGACGCUACGGAACAGAUUGCCACAACACGCGACGAAAGCUUCCAAAAAUCUUGGAAACGGAAUCGUAGCUUCAAGACAUCACCAAGAGGUGGGGGGUGUCAUCCCGAAGCAACCGGGUUUCUUUUUAUGUCUAAGUUAAUUAUAUUGAUCAUAUUGCGCUAUAGGAAUAGUAGUUGUACAUUUCCAUUUCCAUGCAUGCUUUCUUGGUAGUGUAGCGAGGUGAGCUUGACACGUGAACUAGGAUAGCAUGAGGAUUGGGUCUUGUGAUGUAAUAUAUGAAAACUUGGAGUGGCGAUGUCAACUUUGAUCUAGAGGAUCGAAGUAGGGUUUGAGCUGGUUUUGUAUCUUCCCCGAGUGAUUUUGGAUGCGUGGGAAUGAAUUCCGGAGAUAAAUGAGUGUUUCGGCGCAAGUUGGGCGCGAAACAAAAUUAAAGAGAAUUUUCAGAUUUCGACGCUAACUUCGAGUAAAUAAAUCAAAGUGAGGCUUGAGGAUAAUUUGUAGUAUCUCCGAAUUAAUUUGGAGGCUUUGGGAUAGCUAAUGGCAUGUCUUAGAAGGGUUUUGAAGUGUUCGGUGCGAAGUGGUAGCGCAAAUAAAGAAACUCGGAAUGAAGUGUUGCCAGGUGAAGGAUUUGUAUUGGAUAGUUUGAGCAAGUUGAUCAUGGUAAUGCAAGAAUGUAAUUUGGAAUGUUCCCGGAUUAAUUUGGAAGGUUAGGAAAAUUAGUUGGCUUGUAUUGGAAGAAGUUGGAGGGUUUCGAAGUGAACCGAAAGCGCGAAAAGGCUCCGAAGUGAAGUUGCUGCCAUGAAUGGAAUUAGAGCUUGAUUUCAUUGCUAAUCCGGCUAAAAGGAUGCUAAAAUGAAAAUUAAAUGCUUCCAAAUUAAAUUGGUAGCUUGGGCAUAGAGUUUAGCAUGUUUUGGAAGUGUUUGGAUGAAUUCGAAGUGAGCUAGAUGUGAGAAACGGGCUGCCAAAGCUGCUGCUGCCAGCAGGGACUAAACUGCGAACCUGCAGGGACUGUUUUGCGAACUGCUGGAUUGCAAUGCAGUUUCAGCAUUUUGAGGGGUUUAAAUGCAUUUUGUUGAUCUUAUCUCUUAACCCCAGCACUUAGAAACAUGUAGGACCAUCUCACCUCGUUUUCUUUCGUUUCUUUUUCUUCUUCUCCUUCUCUCUCUCUCCAACCGAAUGGAGUGGUUGAGGGAGGUGUUGAUGGAGAUUAUAGUGGAGAUGGGUUCUUGGCUGUGAGGAAGAUCCAGAGCAGGGAAGAAGUUCUUUCUUUCUCUUUUAUUCCUUUUCUUCUCCUCCUUCUCCUUGUCUUUCUUUUCUUUCUCUUUCUCUCAAACCAAGUGAUGUGUUGAGGGAGAAGGUGAUGAAGGAGAAGUGGUGAAGAUGCUGUUUUGUGCUGAGAAGAAUGUCAGCUGCAGGAAAUCAGCUGUGGAAGCAUCAACCUAAGGUAAAAAUUAGUGUGAUUAUUGGUUAGAGAAUGUCUUAAUCACCCUAGAAAAGGUUGAGCUUGGUUCUCUUAGAUGCCAAAGCAUGUUGAUACCAUGAUUAAGCUUAGAACAAGCUUAAUGAAUCCUGCUGACAGCAGGAAUGAUGCAGAUUUCAGCAUUAGCAAUUGAAAGCUGAGAGCAACUAAUUGAGCAGGAAUUAAGGUAAAUUAACUUAAAGUUCCUGCUUAAGGUUUGGUCUAAUUUCGUGUUGGAGUUGGGUUGGUGCUCUAGAGUGGUUAGGCUGCAGAAAUUGGACAAUAUUUAUGUACAUAUGCUGAAAUUCUAAGUGUAGACUGCAUAUAUAUAUAUAUAUAUAUAUAUAUAUAUAUAUAUAUAUAUAUAUAUAUAUAUAUAUAUAUAUAAAUUAUGCAUACAUUGGAUUGGUGAUGGGGAAUUGCGAAGUCCCGAGUAGGUUGGUCGUAAUUCCUAGAUAAAAUUAUUGUAUUUGCCUAAGAUUGCUAGCAAUGAAACUUUUGGUUUCUAAACUAUAUACAUCAAACUAAAGAGAAGUAGCUAGGAUUGCAUAGUUAACCAGGUUAAGUUGGAAACUAAAGCUCGAUAAAUCGGACUUUUGCAGGAUUUGAAGCCCCUAAUGUGAAAAUGACCGCGUUACAAACCUAAUUUGAGGUAAAGAAACAUGCCUGGCAGAAGUCGGAUUCGCAAUCCGACGAACCUAUACGCGAGAUAAUUCGCAAAGAGUAUUUUCCACUAUAAUUGUCGGGACCGCGUGUCGCGAAUUCACGGGAAAGUACUAAAAGCGUGAUUUCUCGUAUUCCAAGAAAUUCUAAGUAAAGUGGGUGUGCUUACCGAAGUGAUUAGGUCACUUCCAUGCCAAAUAAAUCCUUGUUUCAUUUGACCAUAUAUAUGAAUAUGACGUCGACAUAACUGAACAUUGAACUGCUAAAAUGCUAUAUGAGUAGUAUAUGAAAUUCGUGAAUUGUGAAAUGUCUAAGAGACAUAGUAAUAACAUACAUAAUGAAUGGAAAUCUCCACUGCUAUGAUGUACCAAACAGGUAAUUGAACAAACUAAAAGCAUGUAAUAUAUGGAAGAUUGUGUUAACUUAAACAAUUUUUAAUUGCGUCAAUAAUGAACGUGAAACUUGAAUGCAUAGUGAUGUUCAAUUCCAUAUGAUCGAAUCUUUGAUAUAUUAAAUGUUGAACCUAUAAAUGCAAGGCAUAUAAUGAAUAUGAAAUGUGAAUAUAUAUCUAAAUGCCUAACAUACUAUUAUGAAUGUCCGCUAUAUUGAUGUCCUAUACAAGCUAAGCCUACAUAGAAUGCCAAAGAACCAUAUAAGUUGAGAUGUGAAAUGUGAAUAUAGAUGUCUAUAUGGACGUCGCUAAUUCAUAGUUGAUUCGCAAUCCUCAAUGGUAAAUGUAAACUAUGAAUUCAAUGGUAAAAUCCUACUAAGAAUUGGGUAUAAAUCGACACUCCAAUUCGAGUAGAAAUAUCUGGACAGUGACAAAUAGUAAAAUGAAAAAUGGUAACUUGUAAUUCCUAGCGUGGAUAACUUAGGAAAUAAAUGAGUAGAUCGAGUGGCAAUGAACUAAUGGAUAUAAACUGAACGAAAACCAGCUAGUGUUCUUGAACAUAGUCGAUAUUAACCUAGUGUCAAUUGGGACAUAGGUAAGUAAGUAAACGUAGAGUUGAAGAUGCUAGGGAAAGGAAUAAACGCUAUGUAACUGAACCUAAGGUGUGAGUAAAAGAACCAACUUAUAAAAGAAACAUAGAGUUGUGAAUCAUAGUGAUAAUAGGAACCACUAAAAGUAAAUUGCUAUAGACCUAAAAGGUCUGCGCAUAGGGUAAGUGAUAAACCGGCUUAAGUUGUGAAAGUGAUCGGAAUCCUUAUAAGGAAUGGUGAGGAAUGGCAAGAAAUAGAAUCGUAAAACUACGGGAUUGAACGGUUCUCCUCUCCCGGAGUGAUUCCAAACGGAUCGACGGGUUUCUCUCUGACACCGUAUGACAUGAAAACAAAGUGAAUCGGAAGCUACGGGAUUGACGUUCUCCUCUCUCGUAGUGAUUCAACGAGGAUCGAACGGUUCCUCCUCUCCCGGUAUGAGCUAACAGGUUUGACGGUUCUCCUCGCCCGUUAAAGGCUUGAGCGACUUAGGUCACAAGGGAUCGAACGGUUUCUCUUCUCCCUGUGAAUGGACGCCUAUGUGUCGGCGUGGACUUAAGGCUAGGUGCUUGUGAGAAUUCCUUUCACCUCAGCCUCGACUUGACGCGCGUACCCAACGGAUUAUUGACAUCAAGACCGAUAACGAUGCAUAGAUGGCUAAGGUAAAAUAAAUAGGAAAGACGUCUCAAGUGAGCAUAAAAUUGACAAAGAGUAAAAGAAUAAAGAAAAUAGCUAAAGAAUAAAACUAGCUAAGAAAGAAAAGACUGGCUACAAGUAAAGAACGUUAAGAUAUUAAAGAGAAUCAAGUAAUCUAUCUUACAUGAUUUACAGUAUAGCAUAUUGCAUAGCAAGCGAGGCAAGCAACCCGUCUUAUUUGCUCUGCAUAUUCAAAUAUCUAUCUGUCAGCUUUUGAAAACCAACCUACACUGUUGCGAUUCCUUGGACCUGGUGGUCGAGCUCUUUCUUGAGGGUGGUCGACCACUGGAACUAAUAAUUAUAUUAAGUUCUCAACCCACCCCGUGUUGUUUUGGGGUACAGGUUACCCACGCAGAGCCGGCGCAGCCGCGGGCCGAGACAGGCCAGUAGCAAUCGUAGAUAGCCGCCCCACCAACUGAGGAACCGAGAUAGCAACUCCCCCUGCAAGAGUCCAGGGCUCUAACAGUUCAAUGAAAGAAUCAAAUUGUAGUAAUUUGUAUAAGUUUUAGUAAAAACUUAAAGGCUAUGUAAUUUUGUAAAUGCUAAAAUUCUGAGAGGACAUGAUUUGUAAUAGGCUAGUUGGCAUUUUUAUUGUUUUUGAUACUUAUGGCAACUGUGGUUGAAUACAGCUUCUCCUCGUUCUGGCAACCUUUUAUUGUAAUUGUUUAGAUUGCUGACGCCGUAGCAACGUACAGGGGAGCGCUCUGUCCCUUCGGCGGUCUGUCGGCCGUGCCGAACCGAACCAAACAUAGGCGGAGCUCGAGGCGUGACAUGUACGAUAGAAUCUAUCGGGCACUUCAAACAAGCCGAACUUGGACAUAGCCUAGUAUAUGGCAAAGAACUAUUUGGGUAGAAGCACCUAUGCAUGAAGCCGAGUGCACUGUACAGUAAUUGAGACACUUUUUCAACUACCACAUGACUAAAACGAAAGUACGCAUUGAGCUACGUGUAAAACUUGACAUGCAACUCUAAGGGAUAGUACGAAGUCCCAACAUGAUUAAUAUCAGACUGUGCAGCAUAGCACCAUUGACCCUAGUAGACAGGGUAUGCCUCUUCGAGAGGAUUGAUCAUCACUCACUAGUCGUUUUCGCCGUCGAUGGUCGCCUCCCACCGUGGCCAUGAAGUACUUCACUAGGGGCAGACGUAGUUGUCCCGCAGACGGUCUCGGUGUGCGAGUGCAACUUCUCCUCACCUAUGAGAUUGAGAGUGAGUCGAGGGUUAACCAACGGGUUAACCAAGUAAAUUAGGUAAUAAACAUGAGAUGCAUAGUAGACUUGCAUUAUUACCUUGAAUAGACAUAGUGUAUAUUGUAGUUUACAUUACUAUGCACUUUUAUGUGCUCAUGACAUAAUACUAGCAUGAUAGUAGUUGUUGCAUGCAUUAUUAUCAUUGAUGGCAUGAUAGAGUAGUUGCAGUUCAUUUCUAUAUAUCUAUCUAUCUCUCUAUCUGUGCAAGCUUAGACCUAGUGAAAAAAUCGGCGGCGUCAGCGGCCGAACCCACUGGGAACUAUAUUUAUAUAGUUCUCACCCCAUAUGGUUUUAGGGUACAGGUACACACAGAGGCGAGCCGAGCGAGGACCGCGGCAAGGGCAUAGCGCCCUAAGUGAGCCUAGUUAGUAGCUUUUCCUUUAUGCAUUAGAGUACCCUCGUGUACUAGAUGAUGUUUUGGAUAGUUAUUGGAGAGCUACUUGUAUUUUGAGGAAAACAUGUAUUUACAUUUUGGAAGAUGAAAAUGUAAUGUAAUCAAAUGAUGUAAAUGUUGAAUGGUUGUAAUAGUUAGACUAU